rnacentral:rRNA from 1 species
AUUGAACGCUGGCGGCAGGCCUAACACAUGCAAGUCGCACGAGUGGCGGCCGGGUGAGUAAUGUCUGGGUAUCUGCCUGAUGGAGGGGGAUAACUACUGGAAACGGUAGCUACUACCGCAUACCAUCGGAUGUGCCCAGAUGGGAUUAGCUAGUAGGUGGGGUAAAGGCUCACCUAGGCGACGAUCCCUAGCUGGUCUGAGAGGAUGACCAGCCACACUGGAACUGAGACACGGUCCAGACUCCGACGGGAGGCAGCAGUGGGGAAUAUUGCACAAUGGGCGCAAGCCUGAUGCAGCCAUGCCGCGUGUAUGAAGAAGGCCUUCGGGUUGUAAAGUACUUUCAGCGGGGAGGCGUUACCCGCAGAAGAAGCACCGGCUAACUCCGUGCCAGCCGCCGCGGUAAUAC